rnacentral:rRNA from 1 species
AUUGAACGCUGGCGGCAGGCCUAACACAUGCAAGUCGAGCGAGCGGCGGACGGGUGAGUAAUGUAUGGGGACUGCCCGAUAGAGGGGGAUAACUACUGGAAACGGUGGCUAAUACCGCAUACUAUCGGAUAACCCAUAUGGGAUUAGUUAGUGGGUGGUGUAAAGGCUCACCGAGGCGAAGAUCUCUAGCUGGUCUGAGAGGAUGAUCCGCAACAUUGGGAAUGGGACACGGCCCAGACUCCUCCGGAGGCAGCAGUGGGGAUGUUUGCACAAUGGGCGAAAGCCUGAUGCAGCCAUGCCGCGUGUAUGAAGAAGGCCUUCGGGUUGUAAAGUACUUUCAGCGGGGAGGCGUUAACCACACAAGAAGCACCGGCUAACUCCGUGCCAGCAGCCGCGGUAAUAC